GCGGUUAUUCGAACUAUUUGAAACAGCUCUUUUGACUAACUUUAAAAAGGGAAAUUGAUUGUUGAAAAGAAAUUGAUUAAGGAAAAAUUUGUGCGAAAUUAAUUUUGGUCAACUUAGUGGGGAAUUUAACUAGUUCUAAGAAAGUUAAAAUCAAAUAGCACGUAAAGGGGAAAGGGGUGAGCUAGAAGACUUAGGCCCGUAAGCCCAAAUUCAUCAACCCUGUCCUAAUCUAAUUGGGCUUUUGGCCCAUCUACAUCUAUCCUAUUCUAAAUAUUGGAAUUUUGGCCCAUAACCUUUCCUAAACUAUCUUUUUGGACCCUUUGGUCCAAAAUCUGCUUCACCUGUAUUAAUUUACAACUUUGGCUUCGAGGUCCAAAUGAAUGAAUGAAGAAAUAAAUAAAGAAAUAACUAAGAAAAGUAAAAUGUGAGACUUUUCAAGUCUCUUGGCAACUUCAUCAAUGGGUUUUGACCUAGCUUUCUUCUUUUCAUGGUAACUCCUUCUUUGUUCAAAGAUAGCCGACUUGAAGGGAUAGGCCGCAUUGGCCAAUUACGAAAUGUGGAAGGAAGGAGCCAAUUUGGACUUCAAAAAUAGAUUCACAUGCAAAAGAGGAAUGAAAGGAAAUUAACACAUAUAUGGAAUGCAAAGACAGAAGUAAAGAACUUAACCUAUAUUAGAAAGUUGAUACCUUACGGAUAAAUUAUUAAGAAAAUAUUCACACACAUAAAGAAAUUGAAAAAUAUUUUGAUAAGUUCCAAAUUUCCAUAUUAGUCUAUAAUCGCACUGUUUUUCAUUGUGGAAUAACUAAUAAGUUACUAUGAGGAUCCUUUGGCAUACUCAAAUACUACAAAAUAUGUUAUUCCAGGAUUUAGGUAACUAAGGAAAAUAGAACAAUAUAAGAAAAUUCAACAUUCUCUGUAAGUGAAGCAAACUGUUUUGUAUUUCUAAUAUUACAUAAGAACAAGAUUGAAUAGGGUAGGGACAAAGAUGCAAAUAAAUCAAUUCGACAAGAAAAUCAACAUGGACAAAAUCUCAUUAGACUAACACGUAAUUUACAGAGAUUAAACAAUCGUGUUUCACCAAAAGAAGGAAAAACAAGAGGAGAGCACCGCUAACCAAACUCAUAACUAUGUCUCAGAAAGAUAAACAAAUCAAGUGCCACAUUAUUUAGAGGUAGAGUUAAGAAACUUGUUUGACCAAAUUUCAACUAUUUUCAAUCAUGUAUUGUGCAAACAUAACCACAAAAUUUUCACAAAGGGAUAAACCAGGUAAUUCAAUGAAAUACACGAAGCAAAUAAAAUUUGAGAGGCAAACCAACUCAAUGCAUUAAUUCCAGACACAAGAAAAAGAUCAAGGAAGCUGCUCAAUGGUAGAAAACAUAACUUUAUGGAUAUAUAUAAGAUUUUGUAUUAUUGUUAAAAAGAAAAUUAGGAGUAAUUUCAAAGCAUGAUAUUUGUAGACAUUAAGGAUCAAGAUUUUUAACACCUAACCAACCCAAACUAAUGAAUUAAAUAGUAACUUUCAUAUUUUAGUUACAGUAGAAUAAAAUGCAAUUCCAAAGAACUGUAGAAGUGAAGAAGAUUCAGUCUUUGCUUCCAAAUCGGUACCCCAAUAAUAUCUCUUUUGGUUCACCUAUAUCACAAUAUGUUAUAAACUUCUCUUUAAAACAUAUUUCAUUUAGGAAAAAAUUUCAAACUUAGACGUUGAUCAUUACGAGAGACUAAGAGAGACUUGACAUCGUUAAGACAUUCAUACGCUAUUGAAUUUAUCAAAGGAAAUCACAAUUUUAGAGAUGGGGUCGGGGAAAAUACUCAGGUUAGACAUUUUCAAAGAUUGACUUACCAUUUUUGGAGGAUAAAGUCCGCUAUUUUCUUCUGACAUUAUCGGUCAAAGAAAAGACGGUGAAGAGUCCACUUUAUCAAGAAAGUGAAAAAGACGAGCUAGACUAAACAUGUGUAAAACUCAAAAUGCCUUUUGCAAAAUAUCAACCGUGAGGAUAUAGAACUCAUACUAUGCUAGGCUAACUAUUUUGAGUAGCUAAUGCCAACUGAACAUGAACAACACCAUAUCAAGAGAUGUUCGAACAAUUCUGAGUCAAAUAAAGCAGAUUAAAAGCAUACCCCAUGCAAAACUUCAUCAAGGGGAAAUUUUAAAUUAAGUAGUUAAACAGAUUAAGGUCUAAAACUAAACUCAACUAAUUCCACGAUCAACACACUUUGUACAUUUGUAGAGAAGGACGAAGGAAAAAUAAAUUAUUAAAAGCUCUUAUUUUAGCAAAAUACAAAGUAGGAAAAAAAAUAGCUUAAACACGUAGAAAAUAAAUAUUUUCCAGCUAAUAGUAACUUACAGAUAACACAGAAUGAGAUUGAAAUUACAGGAAUAUCGCAACAAGAACAUCAUCGCAACCAAACCUACGACUUUCAAGGCCUCUGCAGCAAAUAAUUCCCAACAUACAAUGCAAUAAUCAAAACUACUACUGCUACAACUACUAGAAUGUGAUAGUGUAAGAAAGAAGAAUCAAAGACUAACCAAUUUUUGGGAAGCAAAAUAAGACCUUGAGCGUCAUAGGAAUCCGCCACCACUAGAAGAAACUUUUUAAACCUCUGAUUAAUUGAAAAAAAAUUGACUAUCAGAUUUCAACUCUUUGCUCAAAUGUGUUUCUUAAUCCCUUCAAGACUUGCCCAUGCAGCUCAUGGAAGGGCUUUAUAUUGAAGGAAUUUGGGGGUUAAGAAAGUGGUUCCAUCCAUGUGGAUUUGAGAUUUUCAGGGGUAAUUUGGGUAACUUUAAUGAAAGAAAAUUCAAGCUCAAGAUAAGGUUUCCAACCAGCAAUUGUACCAAUUUUGGAUUGUUCUUUAAUGAAUAUUAGGAAUAUUGAGAUAAAUGAAUAUUUCUUUGACUAAUCAAAAUUGAGCACAUAUGUACCUUCAUGGUACACUUCUAAUUGUUUGAAUUGAAUUUUUGAGGAAUAUUCCCUUGAAUCUCGACCUGGCUGCCAGCUAGCCACUUUUUAGAAGUUUCACG
rnacentral:lncRNA from 1 species